GCGACGCACAGGACUACAGGACGCCAGGUCCAAGCUCCAGUUCGCCUGUCACUAUCAGGUUGCAACUUUUUAAGUGAUGGAAUCAGCCGUGGAAGGAAAGGGGAGGAAUGCAAGUGAUGGAACUGAUUCAGAAAGUAAUUCGUUUGACAAGAGGGAUGAUAUGUCUGAAGAUGAACUGGUAGUGCUUGGUGGAAAAAUUGAUGAUUCAGCGGACAAUGUCAAUAUUGAUGAAUCUGAGGACAAUGGAAGUAAAAAAGGAGUCAAGAGAAGGCGCAAGAGGGUGCAGAUGAAGGCUACAGCUGAAAGGAGAUCUGAAUUCUAAUACUCUUUGUUAGAAUAUAGGGGAAACAUGAAUUAUUUAGUGCUAUUUGUAAACUAAUUAGAAUUGCCUUCACAGAAUUUGGAAGAAUUGGAUGGAGACAAGUAGACAACUACAAGACAAGCUAAGCUAAGGAGUAAGGACGUCAAGAGUCAAGACUCAAGAGAAAAGAUGCAUCAUUUAAAUUAAUUUUGUCGUUGAAACUUUGAGAUACUGAAUAUUUUGAGCUUAUCAAUGGAUUAUGCAUUGCUCUUGUAUACUUUGAGAUACUGCUGCUGGUUUAAAAUGUCUUAUUGUA